rnacentral:rRNA from 1 species
UACGGAGGGAGCUAGCGUUGUUCGGAAUUACUGGGCGUAAAGCGCGCGUAGGCGGCUUUGUAAGUUAGAGGUGAAAGCCCGGGGCUCAACCCCGGAAUUGCCUUUAAGACUGCAUCGCUUGAAUCCGGGAGAGGUGAGUGGAAUUCCGAGUGUAGAGGUGAAAUUCGUAGAUAUUCGGAAGAACACCGGUGGCGAAGGCGGCUCACUGGACCGGCAUUGACGCUGAGGUGCGAAAGCGUGGGGAGCAAACAGG